GUCCAGGGAUGGGAAUCGAACCCACAAUGUUCCGCUUACCGGGCAGAUGCCAUGUCCACUAAGCUACCCUGGA